rnacentral:rRNA from 1 species
UACGAAGGGUGCAAGCGUUACUCGGAAUUACUGGGCGUAAAGCGUGCGUAGGUGGUUUGUUAAGUCUGCUGUGAAAGCCCCGGGCUCAACCUGGGAAUGGCAGUGGAUACUGGCAAGCUAGAGUGCGGUAGAGGGUAGUGGAAUUCCCGGUGUAGCGGUGAAAUGCGUAGAGAUCGGGAGGAACACCAGUGGCGAAGGCGGCUACCUGGACCAGCACUGGACACUCAG